GGGCUGCCGGGCCUUUCUGCCGGGAUCCUGCCCUCUGCCGCGGUCCCUCCCCGUCGAGAGCAGCCGCUCCGCGGGCAGUUGCUGGCGCCCCGGGAGCUGAGCGGGAGAGAAGGUAGAGCUUCCCCGGGCAGUUGGUGUAUGACUAAACACCAUUGCUAUUUUAUGGACAAACAGCCUCGCCACACCUAUAAUUAGAGGCUCUGUCAAAGCUUUGGAGCUAAAGCAGUCCUGCUGCACGGACUCCUGGUCUGGAGGCUGCUGUAGACAUCUGUCUGUUUGUAUUGGACUGGGCCUGGGGAAAGGGAGAAGCUGUGGUCCUCUCUGCAACCCUGUUGCUAGCACAAACUUCAUGACCUGGCAUCCUGAUGGUCGUUAAACUGAGAGCGUCUUCAGUGGUGCGGGAAAGGUCAGGGCUGGAGAUCCGUCCAGCUAAAAUCCCCAAGAAUGCGUUGCUCCUUUGCCGGGAGGAUUGCUUACGUUUUGUGAACGGCUCCUUUUGAAAAGAACCGUUGGGCUUAGUGAGAUGUGGAAACUCUGACUGCUCGAUCUGCUCCGUGUUUAACUUAGGAAAUGCUUUUGUCGCCCUCAUGCCCAUGUGCCUGAUGUGAGGCAGUGGCUGCAGAACGCAGCAGCGCGAUGGUGCGUGAGCAGUUAAGUGGUUGUGAUCAGCCUCCAGGGAAUAGCGGGAGCCGCUGACAGUGUAAAACUGUGCUGGAAUUGGGCAGUGUGGAGGAGAUGGCCUGGGAGUUGUAUGUCAGCAGUGAAGGAAGGAGGGAGCUUGUGUUUUUGUUUUACCCCAGGCUCCUGGGAUGCUGGUUUGAUUAGGUGAGGUUUGAUCAACAGGUGUAGCUGCCCCAAAGCUUGCUUCCAAAGAAAGUCUUUCCUCGCUGCACUGGCAGCCUGGGUGCCUCUGCUAAUGGCAUCUGUGCGUGCCUGUCUGGGUCUGAGUGGUUUAAGUAACCUGGUGGCCUAAAACCCCCGCGUUGUCUUGCCGAAGCAGCCUGCAGGGUAGUAGAAACCCUCCUGAAACAGGAGCAGUGGCCAUGCUAGCAGGGCCAGGGCCACGCUCUUACCCACUGGUGUUUCCACGAGGAAGUGACAGUGGCUCAGCGGGAGUGAAAGUGCCCGCUCGCUGUGGGCUGCGAGGCAGCCGCAAAGGGCAGGUGGGAGGGGGGCAAAGCUGCUUGCUGCUGCAGCGAAGUAGGGAGCUGCCAGCAACUUUGAAACACCUCGUGGUCGCUGCUGAAGCCGGCUGUGUGGCUGUGCUGCUGGCCCCGGGGAAGGGCCUCUCUGCUUUCCUUGGCUGGGGUAACGCUCCUUGUGCUGAAGGAUCUCGCUCCAGCUGAUGGAGGAACAGAAGGGGAGGAGGAUGCAAGCAGAGAUGCCAGUGUUAAAUCCAAGUGUUCUUUAUGCGGGAACAUAAAGUUGGAUCCUUUCAGCCUGUUUGCUGAGCGACUUGGCAUGACAUUUUGACAGUGAUCAAUAGCAAAAACACACAAACUCCCGCUCUCCUCUCGCUCUGCUCGCAGUGGAGAUUUGAACCGAACUAGCCAGGCACGGCUCUUGGAGCAGUGUAAAAAUAGACUUCUUCCCCCACCCCAUCCUGUUACACUUAAAGCUGCGAGCUGGAUACUGGAGUCUCCUCUGCCGCUGCGAGAAAGACCAGGCGUGUAAUAUUUGCCGUAUGAUUUUCCCCAGGCAGGGCAGAGACCACAGUCUCUGCUAAUGAGUUCCUGGGAUUUGUUCCUGCUGCGAAGGUACCGAGCAGCUGUGGAUGUCUGCAGCCCUGGGGCGGUGGAGCUCUUACGUUGGACAGGGCUGCUGGCUCUCCGUGGCAUUGCAGGAGCUUGCGUGGACUGUGCUAAGAUGGGCAAUCAGCCAGCUCUGCUGCUGUUGAGCAUAUGCAGACGGCCAGCUCUCUGUGUUUGGGAGCUCAGAGGUGAAACAGAGCAGUCUCUUUUUUAGAUAGCUGCUCUCUGGCAAGGCUGACUUGAAUUGAGAUUCACCCCCACGCUCUCCCGUUCCCAAGGAGGAGCCAGAAUGUGGCGACCAAAUUGCAGAGCAAAUCGGUGUGAAGAGAAACCAGCUCCCGCUCUCUCUUGGACUGUGUUUUUCACACCUGAUCUGCAGCUUCUAUGACCCAGGCACCUGGAAUUGGGGUGACUUCUCUGCUUUUGUGCUCCUUCCAGGAUCUAAAAGAGAAGAAGGAAGUUGUUGAAGAAACAGAAAAUGGCAGAGAUGCACCGGCCAACGGCAAUGCUUGUAUUUUUUUUAAGUGAUGUUUUGUCUUGCCAAGGAGAACGAGGAAAACGGAGAACAGGAGGCUGACAACGAAGUAGACGAAGAGGAAGAGGAAGGUGGUGAGGAAGAGGACGAGGAGGAAGAGGGUGAGGAAGAGGAUGGCGAUGAAGACGACGAAGCUGAGGGAGCCACAGGCAAACGGGCAGCCGAGGAUGACGAGGACGAUGACGUCGAUCCCAAGAAGCAGAAAACCGAUGAAGAUGACUAGGCAGCAAAUUAUUAUUAUUUUUUUUUUUAAAUAAGGAGGAAAACAAACCAACAAAAAAGGCCAGCGCGUCCUCUUCACCCUUGGGACCCCCCCUCCCCUCCCGUUGCAACCCCCUCCCCACACACACACGCACCCCCUUCCUCCCCCCUCCGCCGUGGUCAUCCUCACCAAGUAGAGUGAACCCCGUUCCCGGCCCCCCGGCGCGGCGCUGCCACUCAACGAACAUACGAAACGAUUCGCCUGUUAGCGGGGAGAGAACCCCCCCCUUCCCCCACAGACCCCCUCCCCCCCAAGCACCAAAACUUCAAGGCCCUGCUUUCUUUCUUAAAAGUACUUUAAAGGAGAAUUUGUUUGUAUUUUUUAUUUACAUUUUAUAUUUUUGUACAUAUUGUUAGGAGGUCCGCCAUUUUUAAGUGAUCUCGGAUUGACCAAAAGGGGGGCUUUGAAGUGUAUAUCUCUCUUGUUACCUAUCUCUGACUUUACUUGUGGUGUGACCAGGCCCAAACCAUUAUCUCAAAGGAGAAUAAAACAAAACCUUGUAAAAAAAUUAAAAAAAAAAAAAGACAAAAAUGCAAAAAAAAAAAAAAUUUACAAUCUUAUUCUGAGCAUUCCAGUAACUUUUUUUGUGUAUGUACUUUAGCUGUACCAUAGAUCGUGGUUUGUAUGAGGUGGCAAGGCCAAAGAUAAAAAGGUUUUCUUUUUUUUUUUUCUGUCUAUGAAGUUGCUGUUUAUUUUUAUUUUUUUCUUUUUUUUUGGCCUGUUUGAUGUAUGUGUGAAACAAUGUUGUCCAACAAUAAACCGGAAUUUUAUUUUGCUGAGUUGUCCUAACAA